CUGUCCUCCUCUCCACUUGGUCACAGCCUGUCCUCCUCUCCACUUGGUCACAGCCUGUCCUCCUCUCCACUUGGUCACAGCCUGUCCUCCUCUCCACUUGGUCACAGCCUGUCCUCUCCGCAGCCCAACUGGAGGAACCAUUUUCUCCAGAUACUGGCUGGUUGCUAAGCAACAAUAUGGGAAAAAAUUUUCACACACGAGUUUAAUAACAGAUCAGAUCGUCCAACCCUUCUAUAUAGCAAUAACCUAUUGACGUGACUCAAAUAAGAUCUGAUCGCAGAUCCGAUUCACCAAUUGCCUACAGCAGAAAUCUGUUGAGAUGAUUCAGAUUUGUUUCUUGCAACACACCCAAAGGUUGGUGGUAUUUGCUUUCGGUGCAGCAUGGUAGUUGAAUAUGAUCUCCUUCUACAAUGCAGAUCCUCAAACCCCUCUUAAUCUUAACAGAUACCUGUUGCUGGGUGCAGAGUUAGAGAGACAGGCAGCAGAAACCUGUUGCUGGGUGCAGAGCUAAAGAGACAGGCAGUAGAGACUUGGCUCUAGAACACACUGAUCUAUAACCAACAGGCUCUAGAACACACUGAUCUAUAACCAACAGGCUCUAGAACACACUGAUCUAUAACCAACAGGCUCUAGAAUACACUGAUCUAUAACCAACAGGGUCUAGAAUACACUGAUCUAUAACCAACAGGCUCUAGAAUACACUGAUCUAUAACCAACAGGUUCUAGAAUACACUGAUCUAUAACCAACAGGCUCUAGAAUACACUGAUCUAUAACCAACAGGCUCUAGAAUACACUGAUCUAUAACCAACAGGCUCUAGAAUACACUGAUCUAUAAACAACAGGCUCUAGAAUACACUGAUCUAUAACCAACAGGCUCUAGAAUACACUGAUCUAUAACCAACAGGCUCUAGAAUACACUUAUCUAUAACCAACAGGCUCUAGAAUACACUGAUCUAUAAACAACAGGCUCUAGAAUACACUGAUCUAUAACCAACAGGCUCUAGAAUACACUGAUCUAUAAACAACAGGCUCUAGAAUACACUGAUCUAUAACCAACAGACUUGGUUCUAGAAUAUACCUCUAUACAUACAGUACUUUCAGCGGUGACCUGUCAUUCAGGGCUGUUUUGAGCCCUACCUGCUUAGCCCCCCCUGUUUUGCAUGUUAUUUUUAUCAGUUUGCAAACAAUAAAAAAAUAAUUGAGUUAAUAAAGCCACAUGCAAAACAUUUUUUUUCUUGAGUAAGGCAGCUCCAAAAUGCAGGUGUUUCAUCCUAGCUCAGUGAUUUCUGUGGUGGUGGAGCAGCCAGCGGGAAAUACAGGGCGUAGGGGUUGGUAACGUUCUCUAAUUGCGCCGUGAUUGGCUCAGUGUUGUCACUCAUUGGGAUACUAGGUCACCGCAAAAUCUACAGGGAGAGCUCGAAAAUUCAAGCCCCUUGGGUUCUGCCAUAGAUUUACAUUAGAAGUGCCCAUCCAAGAAGGCUCAAGAUCAUUGGCCACAGAUAUAAUUACAUCAAAUCACGUUAUAUGUACCGUUGCUUUGAUUGGACUGAUCAUGUCAACAUACUUUCAAAAUCUUAGCUAGCAAGCGGUCAUCAUCAUGCAUCAAGUCAACAAUCUACUGGCAAAUCCUUCUCAAGGUGAGAAAUUACAGCUAAAACGUAUCGGUGCUCGUCGGCUAUUGGACAUAAACAUUACACAAGUUGGAAAUAGGAAAUUCAACAAUGAGUGGUUUGGAAGGAAUCAGUGGCUAACUGCAAGCGUUGCUAAGCAAUCACUAGCCGGCUAAUCAGUGGAGAGGGUGUGUGGUCCAAGUCUGGGUUUAAGGGUCUCUUUUCCAAGCUUAAAAAGGAUAAACAUUCACAUGCAACACAAUGGCCCAUUCAAAACAACUGGAAACUCGGAAAUCUCAGACUUCAGUGAGUUCAAGACAACUGGGAACUCUGGAAAGAAAAUGUUUUAAAAAGAGUUCCCGACUGGGAAAAUGUGUUUUUAACGGUCAUCCAACUCGGAAACUUUCUGACUUUAAGAUUAUGAUUCACUCCAUUUCUUUUUUCCUGAGUUUUGUUUGUUUUCCUGAGUUUCCAGUUUUUCUUCCACAAAUGUCUUGUUAACAAACUAUAGUUUUGGCAAGUCAGUUAAGACAUCUACUUUGUGCAUGACACAAGUCAUUUUUCCAACAAUUGUUUACAGACAGAUUAUUUCACUUAUAAUUCACUGCAUCACAAUUCCAGUGGGUCAGAAGUUUACAUACACUAAGUUGACUGUGCCUUUAAACAGCUUGGAAAAUUCCAGAAAAUUAUGUAAUUGCCAAUCAGAAGCUUUUAUGGAUGUAUUUCAAGGCCUACCUUCAAACUCAGUGCCUCUUUGCUUGACAUCGUGGGAAAAUCAAAAUAAAUCAGCCAAGAACUCAACCACAAGCCUGGUUCAUUCUUGGGAGCAAUUUCCAAAUGCCUGAAGGCACCACGUUCAUCUGUACAAACAAUAGUAUGCAAGUAUAAACACCAUGGGACCACGCAGCCGGCAUACCAGGAAGGAGACGUAUUCUGUCUCCUAGAGAUGAAUGUACUUUGGUGCGAAAAGUGCAAAUCAAUCCCAGAACAACAGCAAAGGACCUUGUGAAGAUGCUGGAGGAAACAGGGUCAAAAGUAUCUAUAUCCACAGAAAAAUUAGUCCUAUAUCCACAGAACCUGAAAGGUCACUCAGCAAGGAAGAAGCCACUGCUCAAAAAUCACCAUAAAAAAAACUGACUACGGUUUGCAACUGCACAUUGGGACAAAGAUCAUACUUUUUGGAGAAAUGUCCUCUGGUCUGAUGAAACAAAAAUAGAACUGUUUGGCCAUAAUGACCAUCGUUAUGUUUGGAGGAAAAAGGGGGAGGCUUGCAAGCCGAAGAACACCAUCCCAACCGUGAAGCAUGGGGGUGGCAGCAUCAUGUUGUGGGGGUGCUUUGCUGCAGGAGGGACUGGUGCACUUCACAAAAUAGAUGGCAUCAUGAGGAGGAAAAUUAUGUGGAUAUAUUGAAGCAAUGUCUUCCAAAGGGACAAUGACCCCAAGCAACCUUCCAAAGUUGUGGCAAAAUGGCCUAAGGACAACAAACUCAAGGUAUUGGAGUGGAUAUCACAAAGCCCUGACCUCAAUCCUAUAGAAAAUCUCUGGGCAGAACUGAAAAAGCGUGUGCGAGCAAGGAGGCCUACAAACCUGACUCAGUUACACCAGCUCUGUCAGGAGGAAUGGGCCAAAAUUCACCCAACUUAUUGUAGGAAGGCUACCCGUAACGUUUGCCCCAAGUUAAACAAUUUUAAGGCAAUGCUACCAAAUACUAAUUGAGUGUAUGUAAACUUCUGACCCACUGGGAAUGCACAUGUAGCCUGUUUUAGAGAAAUGCAAUCAUUGAAUAUUCUAAGAGCUUUCAUUGGUUUCCUUAUAUUCCCCCUUAAUUUAUCUUACGGUUCUGACUUGGUGUACAGGGAAAACACUAAGAACGGCCCAUGUUCUGAAUUCUGUCACUGUACAUUUCAAAAGGGCUGAACAAAUAGUUAUGACUACGUGCAUUUUAGCUCGCUCAUUGUCUUAAUAAAAAUGACGGAUUUCCUCUUAUUGUGCCCUUAUGCCAUAGUAUGUACAUCUUAAAUUGUUAGUAGAAACCACAUUUGUUUAAGCAAGUCUGACAUAUCAGCUUUUUUAAAACUUUUUUUUUAAUAAGGCAGUAAACGAGGCUGAAUAAACUGUUUUGCUGCCAGACAAGGCUCCGCUGAUCGCCAGGUGAGGUUUCACUCCACGAAGCUGAAAGAUAAGCCGUGGUACUGGGACAGCUUUAUGUAAGCCGUAACAGUUUGUGGGAACCGUUAUAGUGCAAUUAAUGUAUUGUUUAGUGGCUUUGCUGGCAUGCAUUAAAAAAUAUAGAAUUUUUAUUUGGAGGGGGGGGGGGGGGUUCACCCCUCCAAGAUAAAGAAAUAAAAAAAUCGAAGUAAAGUUCUCCUUGUGAUGCAAGAGUAGAAAUGGUGCAUUUAAUUCAACGACGUUUCUGUGUUUUUAUAGAUGCAACGGAAAGACAAUGUAUCCCCAUUUCAGCCAUUAUCAUUGUUUGACAGGUCAUUUUGUAACAUUUCCGCAGGAGUACCAUUAACUGGGUGGGGGGAGGCACAAGAAAGAGUAUGAAAGUCACACGAGUAUAAUAAAAGCAAUCAAUCCAGUGAGACUUCAAUGAUAAGUGGAUUUUGUACCCCUCAAACACUGAAAAAGAGACCAACCCUCAGGUUGAUGAGUCAUGCAUUUUUGCUUACUCAAAAUAAAUACAACUGCCCGUUAGAAAUCUGUUGUGCUGGCUCUAUGCAGUCACCUCACCUAAAAAGGUACAGUUCUCAUAGUGGUGAAGUC
rnacentral:lncRNA from 1 species